AUAAGCGGAGGAAAAGAAACUAACAAGGAUUCCCCUAGUAACGGCGAGUGAAGCGGGAAGAGCUCAAAUUUGUAAUCUGGCACUUUCAGUGUCCGAGUUGUAAUCUCGAGAAGUGUUUUCCGCGCCGGACCGCAUACAAGUCUGUUGGAAUACAGCGUCAUAGUGGUGAGAACCCCGUAACUGAUGCGGAUGCCCGGUGCUUUGUGAUACACUUUCGAAGAGUCGAGUUGUUUGGGAAUGCAGCUCAAAUUGGGUGGUAAAUUCCAUCUAAAGCUAAAUAUUGGCGAGAGACCGAUAGCGAACAAGUACCGUGAGGGAAAGAUGAAAAGCACUUUGGAAAGAGAGUUAACAGUACGUGAAAUUGUUGGAAGGGAAACGAUUGAAGUCAGACUUGUUAUCUGGAGUUCAGCCUUUCGGUGUACUCUCCAGUUUACAGGCCAGCAUCAGUUUUCGGGGCGGGAAAAUCGUAAUUAGAAGGUAGCAGCCUAGCUGUGUUAUAGCUCUUUACUGGAUUCCGCUUUGGGGACUGAGGAACGCAGUGUGCUUUUAGCAAUACCCUCGGGUAUUUCACACUUAGGAUGCUGGUGGAAUGGCUUUAAACGACCCGUC
rnacentral:rRNA from 1 species